CACGCACCGCAGUGGUUCCCGGACCGCCUGCCUCUCGCAGUUUCCCUCGCGCUCUCCGUGCUUCCAUGUUCCAUCUCGCUCGCUGCCAAGCCACCGCACUCCGAAGUCCGUGUGUUUUCCGGAUUGUUGUGCUCGCGGAGCCGUGGCCUCGCACGACGGCACCAACCUCCGAUCCGCCCACGCGACGCCCAGUGGCGGACCCACAGGGGGUCCGGGUGGGCCGGCGACGCCUCCGCAGCCGCCCCCGGCGUAGCCACGCCCGUCGUCGCCGAGGCCCGCCCGGUGAUCCGAUCGGGGCAGCGCUUGGUGUCUUGGAGACACCGUCUCGGAUCGAAGCAAGGAAGAGCGGGGAUCGAUUUGUUGCCGGGCAGGCAUCCUACUCCUCGUCCAACCGGUAGGAUAGUGUGACAACGAGGCCGCCAGGACAUCUUGGAUCUUAGGCUUGAGCAUUAUUAUCUGAAUUCCGCUCACAAAUCACAACAAUUGAACUACGGUUUGGGGCGUGAGAACCGAGAAAGUUACUCGUUUAAAUCGGAUGAAGAGUUUGAGAUGAGGCAAGUUUCCAAACCAGGACGCUUCUCUACUAAUUAUUUCCAGAAUCAAGUGUGUCGGUUGCAUAAUGCUUCGGCCACUCCCGCAUCCCCGCUGACUGCGACAACCACAUGCAAUGACCCACCCCAGCCCAAAAUUUAAAACGCCUGCGCAAAAAAAAAAAACGACUUGCCUACUUGUAGGAGCUCUCGCCUGGUAGCUCAAUCCUGCAACAACUACUCCCAUGCUACAGCCAAAGCCUCCACCCGGAGGGCCCUAUGGGACGCCCUGCUUCCAUGCUCCCAUGCAUGCCGUCCAGAAAACGGUGCAACAACACAAGCUGCUUGAGAAGAACAAGAAGCCCAUCUCCAUUAUAUUGCCGUCCUCCGGAAGCUGGUCAAAGCAGUCGGCCUGUGAUGCAAGGCUGCUUUAGAUAUUGGCAUGGUGCCCCCUAUCCUAGAAUGAUUGUCAUGCGUUAGAGACAACCAUAACCCCCUCCCUGGUUUUCUCUGGUCUAAGCGUUUAGUCUGUGUGGUUGCUGUCCUUGGCCACCAUGCGUGGCGUGCCAGGGCCUGCUAUGAACUUUGGCCUACGUGCCAUGAACUUCAAACUGUCUUUUGUGCUCUUGGUGCCCACCCUCGCCUAUUGAAUAACCCAAACCUAUGUUUACC